ACGGGUGAAGAUAAGACGGAUUAGCGGCGGACGGGUGAGUAACACGUGAGUAACCUGCCUUUUACACAGGGAUAGCCUCGGGAAACCGGGAUUAAAACCUGAUGAAACUAUCAAAUCACAUGAUUAAGAAAGUUAAAACUCCGGUGGUAAAAGAUGGACUCGCGUCCCAUUAGCUAGUUGGUGAAGGUAACGGCCCACCAAGGCAACGAUGGGUAGCCGGCCUGAGAGGGUGAACGGCCACAUUGGAACUGAGAAACGGUCCAAACUCCUACGGGAGGCAGCAGAU
rnacentral:rRNA from 1 species